rnacentral:tRNA from 1 species
AUUAACUUAGUAUAAAAUAAAGUACGUGAGAUUGUAGAUCUCUAGGUAAGUAAAUCUUAGUUAAGA